rnacentral:rRNA from 1 species
CCCUUAGCUGUUCUGGGCCGCACGCGCGCUACACUGACGAAUGCAACGAGCUUAUAACCUUGGCCGAAAGGUCUGGGUAAUCUCCAAAUUUCGUCGUGAUGGGGAUAGAUUAUUGCAAUUAUUAAUCUUCAACGAGGAAUGCCUAGUAAGCGCAAGUCAUCAGCUUGCGUUGAUUACGUCCCUGCCCUUUGUACACACCGCCCGUCGCUCCUACCGAUUGAAUGGUCCGGUGAAGCGUUCGGACCGUGGCCUUUGGACGGUUCGCCGUCUGUUGGCUGCGGGAAGUUCGUUAAACCUUAUCAUUUAGAGGAAGGAGAAGUCGUAACA